AUAUUGCGGCUACGAGGGUAUCCCGUGGCCACGUCUGUCCGAGGGUUGG
rnacentral:rRNA from 1 species